rnacentral:lncRNA from 1 species
UAUAUAUAUAUAUAUAUAGGGAGGGUUCAAAAGAUAUGGUGUACUAGUUUUGAAUCAGCUUAGAUUUGUUCUGGCUUGGAUUAGGAAUUUAGCGAUCCAAAAUCAAUCCAUAUUUUAAAAUGGGCAUGUUUUGAAUCCAAACCUAAUCUAAAUAACUUCGCUUUGAGUUAGACCAGAUUAACUUUGAAACUGUAGAAGAGAGUGACUCAAUAUAAUCCACCUGCAGCCC